rnacentral:rRNA from 1 species
AUGCCGAAGCGCCCGCUGCCGCUUCAGCCAUGCGGGCACAACACCACCGCAAAGCGAGGGAACCACCGCGACCGCCGGCGGCAGCCGCGGCGCCGCCAUGUGUAUCUGGUGGUGGAUGACUGUGAGAGAGGAUACAGCGUCCGCAAGAUAGACGUCGGCACCUUCAGCCCGCAGGCGGAGGCGGCGGGCCGGGAGCCGGAGCAGCUGCCCGAGCCUGCCGUGGCGCGGUUCGAGGGCCACCACGGCCGUCUGGCGUUCUUCGGCGCGCACGGCACCAAGAUACUCGCCAUGCCGGCCUACGGCGCCGCCGACUUCCCCGUCUACGACGUCGAGACGUCGGGGAUCACCCUCUGCGCCCACCCCAACGGCCGCAAGAUCUGCGGCCCGCCCUUGCUGGCAUCCGUCGCCGGCGCGCUGUACAUGAUAGUCGAGUCCUCCCUGGCCGUCCUCGACGCCCAGCCGCCGCCCAACGGCGACGAGUGCAAGGCAUGGGCCUGGACCUUCCUGCCGGCGCACCUCCCAUCGUUCCAGUCGCCAGACGUCAAAUCGUUGGCCGUGCACCCGGACGGGCGGACGCUCUUCGUCUCCGCCAGGCGGAGAACGUUCUCGCUGAACACCAGGAGCCUCGAGUGGACGUGCCGGGGCAACUGGGCCAUGCCUUUCAGCGGCGAAGCAUACUUUGAUCGGGACCUGGAUGCCUGGAUGGGGCUCUGCAUCCAUGAGGGCGGCUUCGGCCAUGUCUGCUCCUGCGACGCCGUGCCCGUCGUCGCCGCCGGUGCCCUCCAGACCAUGCCGGCGUGGAAGCUGGGGAAGGACCGGCUGUUCCACGCAGACCGCGAGAGGCACCUAGGCGCCACGCUCCUCUUCAUGGGGGACGACGACAGCUACUGCCUGCUCGAGUGUGUCUCGGCCGACGACCAGGACGAGGAUGAGUACGCGGCCCACCGUGUGUACCAUAUCACUACGUUCGGUCUCAAUUACGAUAAAGAUGGAGAGCUGAGAGCUACCAGGCGAAGGGCACACGCCUAUGAGAUGACAGACGCACAUGAGAUGAAUGAACUAUACAAGCGUCCAACUGCAUUCUGGAUGUAA